GCAAAAAUAAAUAUAAUGAAUUUGGAGAAAAUUGUGACAAUUGUUAAGGAUUUCAGUAACUAAAGGCUCUAUUUUGUCAAAUGUCAUAUUUCAGUAAAUUCCAGUAGUUUGAAAUUCAGAUGUUUUUUAGGAUUAAGAGGAAUUGUAGAGGAGAAAUAAAAUUAAAGGACAGAGAACUAGAAUGGAAUAUAGGGGUAAAAAUAAAGAGUGGAACUGGAGAGAGAUGGUUAACUCAAUCUAAGCAAUAUUUGUGUGUAGUUUGACCUGGCUGAUGAUUUUUAUUGAACUGGAUCCCGUCGUAGACAAUGACACCGUGCAUUUUGCAGUGAUAAAUUUCUAAUUACUGAGCUGAGCUUUUGCAAGUUGGAUACAAACCUAAUUAUUCCAGGUUUGGUACUCUGACAUCAAAAAAUUAAAAAGGAAGCAUAAAAUAUGCAUUAUUGUCUAUAUUCUUGCUGUUAUGUAUCUCUAGGGCAGUGUAAGGUGGCUCUUUGUUCCAGCUUGUGUGUUUCAGCUGUGCCUGGGGUGUGUGGGAGGAGAUGGUUUAUGAAUGUGUGCAUGGCUUCGUGCACAGUUAUGCAACAGCUUGUUUCUUAAAUAGAGGAAUCCCAGGAAACACAGAGAGAACACAACCCACCCACCCUGGAGAACCAAAACCCCCUGCAGAAACCACACACCUUCUCCAAGAUUCAUUCCCAAGGGGGAAUGAGGAGAAGGGAGCAGAUUUACACGGUACCUUGCUAUGUGAUGUAAAUGAAUGUUAUAAUAAUCCAAUUUAUUUCCACAGCUGGAGAUGCUGUCCAUGAGAUGGCAUCAUCUUGUCCAAAGACUCUGGGAACUGACCUGUCCUUGAGGUUGAGGGAUUUCUUAAAACACAGAAGAAGCUGACAACUGUAGCUGACAAUUGGAUCGCUGACAUCCAAAACUCAACCUACUCAUUGACUUCUGAGGAUGGAAAUGAUUCAAGUCAAGCCAUGUCUGCAAAUUACACUGAACCCAACGGGCCCCAAUACUUUAGGAAGUUGGACAGAUCUGGCAAUGAAUUGAGGCUUUUGGCUACAAUUGCAAAACUGGAUCUCUUCUUUGCUUGGCAACUCAUCUGGUAAUUAUGUUGUGUAAAUGGAGUGUGGCUUGCAAAAAGUGGAGGGCACAAAUUUAGCCUUUGAGCAGCUUCGGCUAAGCUCCAUCACUCGUCUGCUGAUGGGGAUGUUUGCUCUGUGCAGAGCAAGACAGUGAUUAAGCCUAGAUCCAAAAGUUCAUCCCAGGUUUACAGCUACUCCAUGAGUAAUGCCUGGUCCUGUGAGCAGAAUUACCCCCUGUGUUAGUUGUCCUCUGUCAGUGCAGGUGUUGGGUUUGAGCUCAGAUAUUUACCCUCGUGGAGGAAGAGCUGAGCUCCAGGCACAGCCCAGGGCAAUGCUGAUGUCCCUGCUCUGGAGGAAAGAUGCUCCCAUGCUUUUUCUGAAGCACCCACUGAAUUUGGGGUCUGUCUCCCAGAGAGCACUAUGACAUGACCUAAAUCCAUUGCAAAAUCAUGUUUUAUGUAAAAAACAGAAAUUCAGAUUUGAAUAAGCUCAUGCUUAAGUGAAACUCUACUUUCCCCUUCCAAGUUAGUGGGUCCCCUUUCUCAUGUAUGUCCUCUGUUAUAAUCAGCUCUUUUUUCCCCCCAACCUCUUCAUGAGCUUUUAAUUGGUCCCACCCUGGAUUUGAGGAUCUUCAGCUUCCUUUGGCCUGCUAAGGUCCACCCAGCUACUUCAGGCCUGGAAGAGAACAGGAUAUAUCCAGGAACAUUUCUGUCACAUUUUCAUUGUCGUCCCUGCAAUGUAACCCUGUUGCAGCCCUAAAUAACUUAUUGGGAUGGGAAAGGAAUCUACCCAUUAAUAAAAACUGUAACACCUCUUUUGAGUUGAUUUGGGCAACAGGACUCUGUUCUGUCUCUUGUACCAUGUCCCCAUCACUGGCUGUUGGCACUGUGCUGCUCCUUGCAUGUGAGUGUCAGCCUGGAUUUAAUGUGGUGACUAAAGUUAAUUAGCAAA